AAACAUCUUAAAAAUAAACUUUAAAAAAUAAUGAUUAUAAAAAAUGACAUAAUUCGAAAUCUGCAUUCAAGCCUUGGGGGGUUAGAGUGUUUAAAUUAAAUAUCCAUUUUGUUUCUAAUUGACCUAAUUUUCUUAUUUCGUCCUCCCCUCGCCAAUUUAAUGUGACUUUUUGGAUAGCAUAAAAAUCUAAAAAGUGUGGAUCCUUGUCAUGUAUUAAUCUAAAAUGGUCUGAAACACUAUGUUUAUCGUAGCCCUUCUUAAUGUUCCGUAUAUGCUCAUUUAUUCUCACAUUCAAUGGGCGUUUCGUUCUGCCCACAUAUAAAAGAUCACAGGGGCAUUUUAAAAGAUAUAUCACCCUUUUGGAAAAACAAGUAAUCAUUUCCUUUAUUGUGUGUUUCUUUCCUCUUGCUGAAUCAUGGAACUCCCUGAUAUGUCUUUUUUUGCUUUUUGUGUUCCUACAAGCUAAGCAUUGUCCGCAGCCAAAAAAACCUUUAUUUUGAAAAAAAGGUGUGAUUGAUUCUUCUUUAAUAUGAUUAUGUACUAGCUUUUGUUUCAAAUUUGUCGCUCCCCUGUAUACAAAUCUUGGUCUUUCUGGUAGUAUAGAAUAUAACAUGGGGUCAUUUCUUAGCAUGGGCCAAUGUUUGUUUACUAUCUUUUUUAUUUUAUGGCUUUCCUGAUUGAAAUUAGAGAUAAAUGGCAACAUAUUAUGCUCAUUUCUCGCCUUAGAUUUAUAUUUCAAAAGGGAGGAUCUUUCCAUGCUUUCUACCUCUUUUAUAGUAUUCAUCAACAGAUUAUCUUCAUAUCCCUUUUCAACAAAUUGGUUCUUAACCCUAGUGGCUUGAAUUUCAAAAGUGCUUGUGUCAGUGCAGUUUCUACGAAUUCUCAUUAAUUGGGCUUUUGGAAUGUUCCUUAACCAGGGAGAGAAAUGGCAACUAUUUAAAAAAAUAUAGUUGUUCACGUCUACAGAUUUAAAGAAAGUUUUCGUUUUAAUAUGGUCAUCUUCUAUAAAAAUUGUAAGAUCUAAAAAAUUUACACUGUUGGUGCUAUAUUCCGUAGUUAAUUUAACUCCCCAGUCAUUAAUGUUUAAAAAGGUUAAAAAAGUAUUUAAAAGAGUUUCUGAACCAUUCC